GUAGGGAAUAUUGGGCAAUGGAUGCAAGUCUGACCCAGCCAUCCCGCGUGUUGGAAGAAGGCCCUCUGGGUUGUAAACAACUUUUAACAGAGAAGAAACCUCAGGAUGCGUUCUGAAUUGACGGUAUCUGUUGAAUAAGCACCGGCUAACUCCGUGCCAGCAGCCGCGGUAAUACGGAGGGUGCAAGCGUUGUCCGGAUUUAUUGGGUUUAAAGGGUGCGUAGGCUGGAAGGUCAGUCAGCGGUGAAAAGCUGUCGCUCAACGAUAGUCUUGCCGCAGAUACUUCCUUUCUUGGAUUAGGAGGAGGUCACUGGAAUAGAUGGUGUAGCGGUGAAAUGCAUAGAUAUCAUCUAGAACGCCAAUUGCGAAGGCAGGUGACUGUACCUAUAUCGACGCUGAUGCACGAAAGCAUGGGGAGCGAACAGGAUUAGAAACCCCGGUAGUCC
rnacentral:rRNA from 1 species